rnacentral:misc_RNA from 1 species
UUUCCGUAGGUGAACCUGCGGAAGGAUCACUAAAGAGAACUUGCCCUUCGGGGUAGAUCUCCCACCCUUUGUUUAUUAUACUUUGUUGCUUUGGCGGGCCUGCCUCACGGCUGCCGGCGUAAGCUGGCUCGCGCCCGCCAGAGACCCCUAAACUCUGAAUAUUGUCGUCUGAGUAAUAUAUAAUAAGUUAAAACUUUCAACAACGGAUCUCUUGGUCCUG